rnacentral:rRNA from 1 species
AUUGGACGCUGGCGGGAUGCCAACACAUGCAAGUCGAACGAGUGGCGAACGGGUGAGUAAUGCCUCGGAACGUGCCCAGUAGCGGGGGAUAACUACCGGAAAGGGGGCUAUACCGCAUACUAUUGGAGCGGCCGAGGUCGGAUUAGCUAGUUGGUGAGGUAACGGCCUACCAAGGCGACGAUCCGUAACUGGUUUGAGAGGACGACCAGCCACACGGGGACUGAGACACGGCCCAGACGCCUACGGGAGGCAGCAGUGGGGAAUUUUGGACAAUGGGGGCAACCCUGAUCCAGCCAUCCCGCGUGUGUGAAGAAGGUUUCGGGUUGUAAAGCACUUUUGGUUGGAAGGCGGUACCUGCAGAAUAAGCACCGGCUAACUACGUGCCAGCAGCCGCGGUAAUAC